rnacentral:rRNA from 1 species
AACGAACGCUGGCGGCGUGCCUAACACAUGCAAGUCGUGCGAGAAAGUUCCUUCGGGAGCGAGUAAAGCGGCGCACGGGUGAGUAACACGUAGGUAACCUGCCCCCCAGUCUGGAACAACUAGAGGAAACUCUAGCUAAUGCCGGAUGAGACCACGAUCCCGUUCGGGGGUUGCGGCCAAAGAUGGCCUCUACUUGUAAGCUAUCGCUGAGGGAUGGGCCUGCGGGCCAUUAGCUUGUUGGUGAGGUAACGGCUCACCAAGGCUGUGAUGGCUAGCUGGUCUGAGAGGAUGACCAGCCACACUGGGACUGAGACACGGCCCAGACUCCUACGGGAGGCAGCAGUAGGGAAUAUUGCGCAAUGGGCGAAAGCCUGACGCAGCGACGCCGCGUGGGUGAUGAAGGCCUUCGGGUCGUAAAGCCCUGUCGCAGGGGAAGAAUAAGCAUCGGUAUAAUACGCCGGUGCCCUGACGGUACCCUGCAAGAAAGCACCGGCUAACUCCGUG